UACGUAGGGUCCGAGCGUUGUCCGGAGUUACUGGGCGUAAAGCGCGCGCAGGCGGCCGUUCAAGUCUGGCGUGAAAGCCCCCGGCUCAACCGGGGAGGGUCGUCGGAGACUGGGCGGCUUGAGGGCGGCAGGGGCUGGUGGAAUUCCCGGUGUAGUGGUGAAAUGCGUAGAGAUCGGGAGGAACACCCGUGGCGAAAGCGGCUCACUGGACCACAACUGACGCUGAGGCGCGAAAGCUAGGGGAGCAAACAGG
rnacentral:rRNA from 1 species